GCUCCUCCUCUUGCCUUAAGAUCAUCACUAGAAAGAGAUGGAAAUUUAGCUGGUGGCGAAGGAAGAUGAAAAGGCAGUUAAAAUAGGCAAGGUAGAGGCGGUGAAUGUUGAAAACGAGAGGACGAAAACUGUGGCAACUGAAGAAACUGAGUCUCAGAAGCCGGUUCUUGCACACAAGGAGAGGAAAUGCAGGGCUCAAUUGUGAAGUCUCUGAUCGGGUUUAUACAAAUGUAAAAUAAA